GACGAACGCUGGCGGCGUGCCUAAUACAUGCAAGUAGAACGCACAGUUUAUACCGUAGCUUGCUACACCAUAAACUGUGAGUUGCGAACGGGUGAGUAACGCGUAGGUAACCUGCCUGGUAGCGGGGGAUAACUAUUGGUAACGAUAGCUAAUACCGCAUAAUAUUGAUUAUUGCAUGAUAAUUGAUUGAAAGAUGCUAUUGCAUCACUACUAGAUGGACCUGCGUUGUAUUAGCUAGUAGGUGAGGUAACGGCUCACCUAGGCGACGAGACAUAGCCGACCUGGGAGGGUGAUCGGCCACACUGGGACUGAGACACGGCCCAGACUCCUACGGGAGGCAGCAGUAGGGAAUCUUCGGCGAUGGACGAAAGUCUGACCGAGCAACGCCGCGUGAGUGAAGAAGGUUUUCGGACCGUAAAGCUCUGUUGUAAGAGAAGAACGGGUGUGAGGGUGGAAAGUUCACACUGUGACGGUAUCUUACCAGAAAGGGACGGCUAACUACGUG
rnacentral:rRNA from 1 species